ACUUCAUUGGAGUUGAGGGCUCGGAGCAGCAGGCAGCCUUCCCCGUGGGAAGGAUGACAAAUGGGGAGUGCUGCUUCUAGGUGCUCGUACCAACUGGCUUCGUGCGUCCUGGGAUGGGCGGUGUUCACAGGCGCUUCGGGGCUGAGCGCCCACCAAGUGUGGCGCGCGCUUUUGGGAAACUCCGUGGAAGACCAGGACGGACCCCUGGAGGGUUAGGAAGACUUUGAGACCAGCCAGGGGAAGCCGUGUCCCGGGCCCUGACUGUGGAUCUCCUACUCUGAACCACGGACUCCAGUUUGGAAGGCCAGGCUGCCUUUCGGAUUGGGGGGUAAGGAAGGGAUCCCCAGCUCAGGCAGCCUUUUGGGCUAGGGCAAGGGGACCUCUGGAACCACAUUUUUGAAUGCUCCCACCCAUGAUUUCUGGGACAGCUACUGGAGACAAAUAGAGGCUCGAAGGUGUCGGGAGAAAGGCUGUGUUCCUGAUGUCAUGUAGUUGAACUUGGAUGUGGAGGAAGUCCAGCUUCCCCUGCAGAGUAAAACCAAGCCAGCGAAUGUGGGUGGGGGCCAGCAGCUGCCGACCCUCCUGGGUGAUGUGAUGGGCUUAGGUGGUAGGAGCCAGGGGCCUGGGGCCAGAGAGGGCAGCCCUAAGGGGGUCUAGACAGCACCUUCUGCCCAGAAUGGCAGCCUUUGGUACAAGUCUUUAUUUAUGCCAGUGGCAUGAAAAUGUCGCCCGAUGAAUCCCCAGGGGCCCGUUCUUGGCAAAAGCCCUGUCUCCCAGCAAGAUGGGAAGUGAUGUCACAUUGCACUCUCCAGCCCGCUCUUCUGGGGUUGUUCGAGUUGUGAGAUGGUUCGGUGACUGAUGCCUCUCAUUGUCCCAGACCUUGUGCUUCCCCUGGGAGACCCUCCACCCUGGUGGUUGCUUUUUCCUGUCCCCAUGCUUUAGCUUGAGCAUCUCCACCGUGGAGGCUGCCCUUGGAGGCUGCACUGUGCUGGGAGGAGAGGGAGACUGGAGAGGGAGAGGAGGAGGAGAUGGCAGGGGCAGUGGGGCCCUCAGAGCUGGUGCAGUACUGUGCUGAUGUCAUCACUUUUGGGGGCCUGCUGAGGCCUGUGGCUGCUCCAGAAUCGACACCAGGAGCCUCUUGCUCAGCCUGGGACAGGCACAGCAUUGCGGCUGCCAGUCUCCCUGACAAGGACAAGACCUGCACCUUCCAGGCAGAGCCAACUGGCCAGCUGAGGUCCUGCGACUCCUGCAGGGAUGAAGGUAUAAGGAAAAGGUGAGGGCCACGAGAACCGGCAAUGGGACGCUGGCGGGGCUCACCUGGCAAAUUGGCAGCACCAGACUCCGGAAGAGAGGGAGCAGAAGGGAGGCAGGCCGGGGACUGCAGAGAAAGGCGCCAAGGCACUGGCAAGAUCCUAGCGCCUCAGAUCCUGACCGUGGCACCUCCCCACCGACCAUUUUCACUUUUCACCCAAUGCAGUCGGUAGUUUGCUCUGCGCUUCUCAUUCUCAGCAGUUCUGAUUAAAGAUCAGAUCCCAUUUUCCUUUUAUGCCUUUAAACUUUAAGCCUGGCCACCCAAGACAAAUGCUCUAUUCAAAGCUGGAAGAUACUUAGAAAUCAUCUGUUACAAGUCCCCAAGCUCAGCGAUGAGGACAGUGAGGCCCAGAGAUUAACCGACUUUCCCAAGGACACAGGAAGCUCAGGGCAGACCUGGGAUUCCCUGGGACAUGUGGGACACGGAUGAGAUCAUCAGCGCUCAACCCAUCAGGCAUCCUGACUCAGAUGCAGUAGGACAAGGUGGAGGAGAUGCCGCUGUCCCGUCGGUCUGGGGACAGCCCAGCUCCCCGGAUCCCGGGCUGGAGAGACGCGUCG
rnacentral:lncRNA from 1 species